CCUCUAUUUUAAGGGCGCUGUCGCUGUCCUCACCGAAUUGAAUCGUAACACUACAAAUGAGCUAUUAACCGGAAGUGCGUGGGAACGUCUACCAGGGAAUAAAGCCCUAGCAUUCACAGAAAGUUCAUUAUAUUUCAACACUUUGGUCCGACAUACGUAUUUCUUCUGGUUGCUGUGAUGGCUGAAAAACUUAACGGGCUUUUUCUAUGCAGCGGUAUACUUCUGUAUAUCUCGCACUUAUGUUCUUGCAACUUCGAUGCAGAAGAAGGAAACGGCGUGCAGCCCGAGCUGAGGAUCUUCCACCACUCCUGCGCUCUGAAGAUGAACGAGGGGACGUGCAAGGCCCUGAAAGAGCGCUUCUACUUCGACGUGGACACCCGCCGCUGCCAGAGGUUCCAGUAUGGCGGCUGCAACGGCAACGCCAACAACUUUGAGUCCCUGGAGGAGUGCGAGAAAAUGUGCAUCGUGAAACCCGAUAAGAACCCGUGUCACCUGGACGACGAGCCGGGGCCCUGCCGCGGGCUGGUGCCGCGCUACUUCUUCAACAGCUCCAGCGGCGCGUGCGAGCGCUUCUUCUACGGCGGCUGCUUCGGCAACGCCAACAACUUCCGGACCCGGGAGCAGUGCCAGCACCGGUGCCACCAGCGCAAACCUGACCCAGUGGCCCCUGUCAUUCACACCAGAAGAAUCUCAGAACCUGCAGAGUCUCUCCCCGAACCGGAGGUUGUCGAACAGCCAGGAGUAGUCAGUGUCCGAGAACCAGCCAGACCAAGCACACUGCCACUCAUCUCAACUGAUGCUCAUCCGCCCACACUGUGCCUCACCCGCCCUGACAGAGGGUCGUGCGACGACACCAUCCGGAGGUACGUCUACAACCCACACAAGAAGCGCUGCCAGGCGUUCCGCUACACCGGCUGCGGGGGAAACCAGAACAACUUCGCCUCCAAACGCGAGUGCGUCAGGACCUGCAUGAGAGGUAGCGUGGGACAGCCUGCUUUCCGGCACUUUCUGUGACUCCAUCUUUGAACACGUCCGGUUUCUUUCAAAUCCUGUUUUUGAAACCUUUGCGGUCCUUUUUGAUCAAGCUGGAAGAAUGAGGAUACGGGUCAAGAAGAGGAAUUUCAACAUCAUAUUUCGAUCCGUCUGAACCUAAAUCUGCAUUUGGAACUUUUCUAUUCAACACUACCAUUUCGGUUCAUUUUCAGCCUUUAUUUAUGUCUUGUUUCUGCUGUUUACUGUAUUCGUCUUCAUAAUGUUCAGACGCUGGCCUUGCCUCACUAUUUAGAUGUAGAAUAGUAAUGUUAAACAUUUUCACUGCGAUGCUCUUAUAUGAAAUGUAUUUUUAUGGCUGUUUUAAUCACAUUUAGAAAUGAGUUCACGGGCCCAUUGACACAUGUCUGUUUUUAAAGGAAUAUGCACUUUUUAUUGUACUGAAAAGUGCUAUGAAAAAAGGUAUUUUACUGUAAACAAGAUGCAGAAAAAGCCAUUCUGCUCCAUAUCACUCUACAAAGCUGUGCCAGAGGACUCAUUUCUGAUUAGUUUCUGAUCUAAACUGUAUGUCCAAACUAUUAAUACAAUUAAAAAACACAAGAAUAAAUGA